GUAGUAGUAGGAAUGUAGAUCCAAUAAUUACAUGUAGACCGUGGAAUCCUGUUGCUAUGAAGAAUGUAGAUCCGAAAAUGCCAUCUGAAAUAGAGAAUGAUGUUUCAAAAUAUUCUGAAGCUUGAAGUAAGGUAAAGUAUAAGCCUAGUAUAAUAGUGAUGAGUAGGGCUUGAUUUAUGUUAUUUCAUUUACCUUCUAUUAGGCUGUGGUGAGCUCAUGUGAUUGAAAUGCCAGAUGCUAGAAGAACUGAUGUAUUUAGUAGUGGAACUUCUAGGGGAUUUAGUGGAAUAAUUCCUGUUGGUGGUAAGCAACUUCCUAGAUCGUGUGUGGGGACUAGGCUAGAGUGGUAGAAAGCUCAGAAGUAUCCGGCGAAGAAAAAGACUUCGGAGAUAAUAAAUAAGAUUAUUCCAUAUCGAAGUCCUUUUUGUACAAUAGGGGUGUGAUGUCCUUGGUAGGUCCCUUUGCGGAUAAUAUCUCGUCAUCAUUGAAAUAUUGUUAAAAGAUUUGUUAUAAGGCCUAUAUUUAGUAGGACUGUUGAGCUAUAAUGAAAUCAUAUUACUAGACCAGAUGUUAGAAGGAGGGCUGAGAAUGCUCCUGUUAGUGGUCAUGGGCUUGGGUUUACUAUAGGGUAGGAGAUAGGAG